UUAGCCGAUGAAUAUAAUGACUGUAGUCGGAGAAUAAGCCCCGGCUAACUUCGUGCCAGCAGCCGCGGUAAUACGAAGGGGGCGAGCGUUAUUCGGAAUCACUGGGCGUAAAGCGUGCGUAGGCUGCCUAGAAAGUUGGGAGUGAAAGCCCAGGGCUCAACCCUGGAAUUGCUCUCAAAACUACUAGGCUCGGAUUCGGGAGAGGAUAGCGGAAUUGUCAGUGUAGCAGUGAAAUGCGUAGAUAUUGACAGGAACACCAGUGGCGCAAGCGGCUAUCUGGACCGACAUCGACGCUGAGGCACGAAAGCGUGGGGAUCAAACAGGAUUAGAUACCCUGGUAGUCCACGCCGUAAACGAUGUGUGCUUGUCGCCGGGGGGUUCACCCUUCGGUGACGCAGCUAACGCGUUAAGCACACCGCCUGGGAAGUACGGCCGCAAGGUUAAAACUCAAAGGAAUUGACGGGGACCCGCACAAGCGGUGGAGUAUGUGGUUUAAUUCGUCGCAACGCGAAGAACCUUACCAGGCCUUGACAUGCCCUCUAUGAUGCUCAGAGACGAGCGUCUUCACUUCGGGUGGGAGGGACACAGGUGCUGCAUGGCUGUCGUCAGCUCGUGUCGUGAGAUGUUGGGUUAAGUCCCGCAACGAGCGCAACCCCUUUUAUCAGUUGCCAACACGUAAUGGUGGGAACUCUGAUGAUACUGCCGGUGAUAAGCCGGAGGAAGGCGGGGAUGACGUCAAGUCCUCAUGGCCCUUACGGCCUGGGCUACACACGUACUACAAUGGUGGUGACAAUGGGCAGCUAGGUAGCGAUACCAUGCAAAUCCCUAAAAGCCACCUCAGUUCAGAUUGCACUCUGCAACUCGAGUGCAUGAAG
rnacentral:rRNA from 1 species